CUGAGUUUUUGUAAUCGUCCCAGACCAUAAUUAACCUUUUUUGUAUAUCUAUAAUAAAUACAUCUUAUGGAGAUUAGAUGUCUCGUUUGUUUAGUAGUGCUUAUUCACCUUUUAGUGUAUUUCUAUCUUAUAGUUAAUUGGGUUUUCUUUUUGUAUUUAAGCAUAUUACGUGUGGAAUUUCCAGGACCCUUUUCAAAGUACUUAAUGCGUCAAUUGCAGUGAACUUGAGAACGUUUUAGUCCUUAGCUGUGCACGAAAUUCGGUUGCAGUUAGUACGGUAGUACCAGAAGAGAUUUCUCGGGUGAAUACUGUGCUUUCUUAAUUCUAACUGCAGGUAACGGAUACCAGCUUUGCGAAAAACGUUUUAAAAUAGUAUUUAAUGGCUUAAAUUGAUUUGAACUUGUCCGUGCAGCGUGUAAUUUUAUGUUCAUCUACUAAGGAUUGUGUCUAGAAACUUGGGUUCACUGCCGUUGGGAUUAAACUACGAAAAAUGUUUAACUUUUCUCGGUGUUUAAACAAUGUGAUUUUAUUUCCUUUUAAAGCAUGUAUGUUUAAAUAUUUGCUACAACAGUAGUUAAUUUUUACAUGGACAGUAGUUGGUGUAUUGUAUCUGCGCACACCCGAGCUUCAAACAAUUCAGAGGAUUUGGCAAGACUAUGGCAAGACUUAUUCAAAGUUUCACAGACUUAAAUCAUUUAAACAAAAUGGACUCGAGGGAUUCAAUUGUAAGAGCAAUUCAUCUUCGUACACCUUUUAAUGUCUCCUUGUAUAAUUCUUAGUACAAAAUCUCUUAGUAUUGUUAAUAAGAAAUACUGGUAAAUUGUAUGUCUCUUCCCCCCCCCCCCCCCCCCCCCCAUUUAAAAAAAAUAAAUAAAUAAACGUUUUAUUAAAUCGACAAAUAGAAAGGUUAACUUUAUUUCAGCCUUGACAUGUUUUCAGUUAUGCAUGCUUUGAGUUAUGACAUUUUUUAAAUUGGUGCAUAUUGGAAACAAAGGUAGGUAAUAUUUCCUUCACAGCGAAAGUACAUCAGUGUGUUUCACAAAGCUGUACAUUCCAUGACAAAUACAGGUUUUGUACAUUGACAUUGCAAGUUGUACACAAAGUUUAACCUUUUAUACAAAUUGGUAUUUUAGAAAUACAGUGACAGACCUUUUAAAUAGAUUUUGUUGACAUUUGUAAUUUCAAUUUUUCUAUGUAAGCAGUGGUAAAAUACAUAGUGUGAAAAGAACAGCUUUGUUUGUACCAUACCGGUAAUAAAGUAGUUUUCUGGUCACAGACACCUGCACCACCUUGGCUCCAAAUCUUAAGUUGCAGUCUAUGGGUGCAAGGGGUUUUGACCACUGAUCAGAAGUUCUCCCCAAACCCGACUCUAUGAGGAGGCUUGCAGUUACUGAGGAAGCUCAUGUUCCUAUAAGCAUAGGAGUCUGUCUUGCGUGCAUACCGGCCCCCUAAUCCACUGCAUCUUUCCACAUUGAAAUGUGCCCUAGUUAGUAGUCCCUAAACACUUUUUUUUUUUUUUUUUUUUUUAUAAAAACUUAAUCUAAAGCUGUUUUAAAUACACUUCUGAAGCUGUUCUAUGGAAUUUAAAAUGAGGGAAGGAAAAGCUGUGUUUGCAUGAUCAAUAGCUCCUCAAAUUCCAUUCUAGCACAGUGUUGACUUAAAACAAUGUAUGUUUUGAAUUCUGGAAGGAGAAAAUUGCUUUAGACAACUAGCAAACCCCUCCCAAUUAACAGGUGGAGAGAAUUGCCUGAUCUUGCAUGCUUAAAUGAAUAAAAAAACAUAUGCGUCCCAUGUUUGUUUUUUACAUUCUUAUUAUGGUGGUUUUGUUGUGCACUAUGCUAUAUGUUUAACCAGAAUAUCUCUCAUUUCUUUAGCUAACUAUUGGAUGGCCAGGAUAGACGGUUCCUUACUGUAUCUUAUUAAUCGUCAAGUCUUUGUUUUGUGUUAAGCACGGUCUACAAAGCCUUGCUGUAUCUUAACACCAUUGUGUAUCCAAGAGCAUCCCUAUUGCAGCAAGUAUUAAAUAGUGAGUUCCAUUGUGGCUAUGCGUUCCAGGGGUGACUUGUUGCAUGAGCACCACAGAUUUUAUACCAGGAGAACAGAGCACUAACAUGCAAGGUUUGUGACUUUAGUUAUAUUUUACAAUACAGUUCAUGAUCACAAUUUAAAUGGUGUGCCUAUUUUAUUACUGUUACUUAUUACUUGUAGAACCUGAGCAUCUCUGUACUAUAUAUUGACUUAUAAAUCAGUGGUCUCCGCAUUGCUUCUAGAAAAUAGAUUUAAAUAUUGAAAGUGGAUAACCUAUUAAAGCUCUUUCCCAGUAAUGCUCCCAAUUUCCCAUCCCUUCAAAUAUGUGUUGCAUCUGUCUUUUCAGUAGCAUCAGCUACAGUAAUCCAAUCAUGACUUAGUCUGGCUUCAUUCUUUUAUUUUGUGUCCUGUCCCCCCCCCCCCCAUCUCCAGAUUUUGUCCAACCACUUUGCUGGGAACAAUCUACAACAGUUCAGAGAAGAGGCGCUGCUUGUGGAGAUCCUUAAAGUGCCAGUAUUGCCGAGGAACUACUCCCAGUUGUCUCUGUCCCUUCUGUUGGUACAGGUAGUCUGGUUUUAGGCAUCUUUACCUGUAUGGACUACGGCGCUUCCGUAAAAGACUUGUGUGCAACGCAGAUUCAGUACAGCAACUUGCCUCAGCUUGCUUCUUGAAGCUGCUGCCGCCUUCUUGAAAUGAUGGAAAUAUCAUGCUUCGGCCUCGGUUUUGUGAAUGCAAGCUCACUAGAGAGACUGAUUUACUUUUUAAAAUAUAUAUUGUGGUUUUAAUGUGUGUUGUGCAGAACAGAAUGUGGUAAAGCAAAAAAAAAUAAAAAUAACUUUGAAGAUA